CCUACGGGAGGCAGCAGUGAGGAAUAUUGGUCAAUGGGCGUAAGCCUGAACCAGCCAAGUCGCGUGAGGGAUGAAGGUUCUAUGGAUCGUAAACCUCUUUUAUAAGGGAAUAAAGUGCGGGACGUGUCCCGUUUUGUAUGUACCUUAUGAAUCAGGAUCGGCUAACUCCGUGCCAGCAGCCGCGGUAAUACGGAGGAUCCGAGCGUUAUCCGGAUUUAUUGGGUUUAAAGGGUGCGUAGGCGGCCUGUUAAGUCAGCGGGGAAAGUCUGUGGCUCAACCAUAGAAUUGCGGUUGAAACUGGGAGGCUUGAGUAUGUUUGAGGCAGGCGGAAUGCGUGGUGUAGCGGUGAAAUGCUUAGAUAUCACGCAGAACCCCGAUUGCGAAGGCAGCCUGCCGAGCCAUGACUGACGCUGAUGCACGAAAGCGUGGGGAUCAAACAGGAUGAGAGACCCGGGUAGUC
rnacentral:rRNA from 1 species